rnacentral:rRNA from 1 species
GAUGAACGCUGGCGGCGUGCCUAAUACAUGCAAGUCGAGCGAACAGACGAGGAGCUUGCUCCUCUGACGUUAGCGGCGGACGGGUGAGUAACACGUGGAUAACCUACCUAUAAGACUGGGAUAACUUCGGGAAACCGGAGCUGAUACCGGAUAAUAUAUUGAACCGCAUGGUUCAAUAGUGAAAGACGGUUUUGCUGUCACUUAUAGAUGGAUCCGCGCCGCAUUAGCUAAUUGGUAAGGUAACGGCUUACCAAGGCAACGAUGCGUAGCCGACCUGAGAGGGUGAUCGGCCACACUGGAACUGAGACACGGUCCAGACUCCCACGGGAGGCAGCAGUAGGGAAUCUUCCGCAAUGGGCGAAAGCCUGACGGAGCAACGCCGCGUGAGUGAUGAAGGUCUUCGGAUCGUAAAACUCUGUUAUUAGGGAAGAACAAAUGUGUAAGUAACUAUGCACGUCUUGACGGUACCUAAUCAGAAAGCCACGGCUAACUACGUG